CUUGUCUCGCAGAUUAAGCCAUGCAUGUCUAAGUGUAAAUAUUUUACAGUGAAACUGCGAAUGGCUCAUUAAAACAGUUAUUGUUUGCUUGGAGUAUUUCCCUACGGAUAUCCGUGGAAAUCCUACAGUUAAUACGUAACAGCUUCUUCGGAAGUGUUGCAUAUUACUGUGAACAUUCGGCGUGGGUAACACCCUCGUCUACUAUGAACACUUGUAUGCACGAAUCGCAUAUCUAUGCGAGAGUCCAUCAAAGUUUCUGACCCAUCAGGUUCCGACGGUAAGGUAUUGGCUUACCGUGCCGAUUACGGGUAACGGGGGAUUAGGGUUUGAUUCCGGAGAGUCCGCUUGAGAAACAGCGAACACAUCCAAGGAAGGCAGCAGGCGCGUAAAUUACCUAUCCCUGACACAGGGAGGUAGUAAACAGAAAUAAUGACGCAUGAUUCUAAUCGUGCGAUCGGAAUGAACGGUGAUUAAACCUCACCGUGAAGACAAUCAGAGGAUUAGUCUGGUGCCAGCACCCGCGGCAAUACCAGCUCUGAUAGCGUAUAUUAUUGAUGUUGCAGUUAAAACGUUCGUAGUCGAACUUUAUCUGCUCAGGUAUUGUGGUAUCGAUGAUAUCGCAGUACUUUUAGCAGAGAUUGUGCAAGGAACAUCUCACGAGUUUCUCGUGUUGGUGGCCUUGCAUCUUACUUUGAGUGAAUCGGCGUGUUCCACGCAGGCAUGUGCCUUGAACGAUUUACCAUAGUAUAAUUAGAGUAUGAAGGUAUCUCCUUGUUUGUUCGGAGCUAUUUUCUAUACUGAUAAGAACGGUUGAGGGCAUUCGUAUUCAACUGCCAGAGGUGAAAUUCUUUGAUUAGUUGAGGACGAACUAUUGCGAAAGCAUCUGCCAAGGACGUUUCUUUUGAUCAAGAACGAAAGUUAGGUGAUCGAAGAUGAUUAGAUACCGUUGUAGUCCUAACCAUAAACUUUACUAUCCAAGAGUUGGAUCGGUGACUUUACGCCCUUCCAGUACUUUCUGAGAAAUCAUAAGUCUUUGAGUUCUGGGGGGAGUAUAGUCGCAAGGCCGAAACUUAAAGGAAUGACGGAAGAAUCGUCGACUGC
rnacentral:rRNA from 1 species